GAUGAACGCUGGCGGCGUGCCUAAUACAUGCAAGUUGAGCGCAUGGAUGUGCAGCUUGCUUCUCUGAUGUUAGCGGCGGACGGGUGAGUAACACGUGGAUAACCUACCUAAAAGACUGGGAUAACUUUGGGCAACCGGUGCUAAUAACGGAUAAUAUUUUGAACCGCAUGGUUCAAAAGUAAAAGACGGUCUUGAUGUCACUUAUAGAUGGAUCCGCGCUGCAUUAGCUAGUGGGUAAGGUAAAGGUUUACUAAGGCAACGAUGCAUAGCCGACCUGAGACGGAGAUCGGCAGCACGGGAACGAAGACACGGUGCAGAAUCCUGAGGGAGACAGCAGUAGGGAAUCUUCCGGAAUGAGCGGAAAGCUGACGUAGCAAAGCCGCGAGAGUGAGGAAGAUCUACGUAGCGUAAGACUAUGUUAUUAAAGAAGAACAAAUGUGUAAGUAUCUGUGCACAUCAUGACAGAACCUAAACGGAAAGCCACGGCUAACUACGUG
rnacentral:rRNA from 1 species